rfam:Salmo salar isolate Sally breed double haploid chromosome ssa20, whole genome shotgun sequence.
CCUCCUGUAGCUCAGUUGGUAGAGCAUGGUGUUUGCAACGCCAGGGUUGUGGGUUCGAUUCCCACGGGGGGC